ACGACCUUACUUGACCAGGAUCUGUUCUAUAGGAUCGUACUACUGUGUUCUUGAUAUCUAAGGAGACAGAAACAUAAAUUGACUGGGGCCAAUC
rnacentral:snoRNA from 1 species